rnacentral:rRNA from 1 species
GACGAACGCUGGCGGCGUGCUUAACACAUGCAAGUCGAACGAAGUGGCGAACGGGUGAGUAACGCGUAAUCAACCUGCCCUUCAGAGGGGGACAACAGUUGGAAACGACUGCUAAUACCGCAUACUGAAGGAGGGGAUUGCGUCUGAUUAGUUAGGUGGAGGGGUAACGGCCCACAAAGGCGAUGAUCAGUAGCAGGUCUGAGAGGAGUAACGGCCACAUUGGGACUGAGACAAGGCCCAGACUCCUCCGGGAGGCAGCAGUGGGGAAUCUGCCGGAAUUGGCGAAAGUCUGACGGAGCAACGCCGCGUGAGUGAUGACGGCGUUCGGGUUGUAAAGCUCUUUUAAUCGGGACGCGGUACCGGAAUAGAAAGCCACGGCUAACUACGUGCCAGCAGCCGCGGUAAUAC